ACAUGUUUACAUCUAAACCAUAUUCUCCUUAGGCAACACCCCUUUGUACACCACACCAAAUCCCCCUUGCCCCAAUUUGUUCUUGUCGUCGAAAUUGUUGGUGGCUCUUUUCAAAUCCUUAAACCUGAACUCCCUAGGUGUCCCUGGCAAGCUCUUCAAUGCCCCAAGUAUGUUAGUAUCAUUUCCCCCAAGACGAAUGCGUCUCUUUUUCAAGUAAUAGAUUAAAACCAAUAUAGCUACUAGCAAUAGGAGCAGUCCAGGAACAUCAACACCUACUAAAAUUUUGAUCCAUUUGGUGUCUUUCUCUUGUGGAAGAAUCUGAACAGUGAGAUUCCAUCCGAGCACACAGUUGAGUUGAGUCCAAUUGCCAGUAGAGGCUGCAAAUCCAAAGUAAGAUUGUUGAUUGACAUAAUCCCUGAGGUUCAACUGAAUAUCUAGAAGUGGUACAGCAGGUCUGGGUAAACCUUCCAAGGCCAUGUAAGCUUUAAAAACUUUGUCGACGCCAUCAUAUUGGAUCCAGACAGUGUAGUUCUUGGGGUCUAAAGGUGCAAUUUCGAUGUUGUGAUUGGACAAGGAGACAGUAGUAUUAGAUCGAAUAGAAUUAAGGUCAAGACCCAUGUGGUUAUCAUCAGGGUCAAAAUCCUGUUUAACAGUAUCAAGUUCAAGAGCAACAAGUUGGUUAGAAGAAAGGCCAUCAAGAGUGGAAUUUGUAAGACCCAAGUAUUGAGCUUCACUAGCAAUAGGAGGGGAUGAUAAAUCUGGAGCUAUAAUGAAAGCAAAACCUUCACCAGCAGUAGUGUUUGGGGAACGAUAAAUGUUAAUAAGGAAAGAAGUGUUGAAAGAAGCAACUAUAUUUGUUUGUUUAUGGGUUCCAUCCAUUUGAAGAAGUUACACUUUGGUAUACCAUUGUAGAACAGAGCACAACCAAUGAACUGCCUCCCAGCAUUUUCAGGUGUCCACGCGAUUUUAAUAGGAGAAGGAGCUCCACAACUGCAAGAACGAGAAGAAUUAACACUAGAAGAUGACGAAGACAUGGUGAAGAAUUGGGGAUUUGAAUUAGGGAUUUGAAGAUGAUGAAGAAUUCAAAGUGAGAAGAAUUGGGGAUUUUAAUUAGGGAUUUACAGAUUUGUUGAAUUGAAUUGUGAAAAUAGAGAAGAAGUCAGUCACAUGAGAAACAUGUGCCUCAUUUUGAUGUGUUGGAAAUGUUGUUUAACUUUAUUUUAAAAGAAAAAAUACACGUAGAUAAAUAUUCGCCACGUCUGCAGUCCGUUAGCAUGUUUUAGACAGAUUGUAUAACGUGGAAAAAAUUUCAAAGUACAUUGAUGUUUUGACGUGAUUUUUUGUACAUUGUAUAAAGUGAAAAAAAAAGUGAAAGUACGUUGUAUUUUUUGAUCAUUUUACCUAUAUUUAAAAUCACAGGGAAAAAAAAAAAGUGUAGUCAAGCAUUGUAAAGAUGUUCACUAGUCUUUGUCUGCAAAUAUCACUACAUCAGAUUCAGAUGAUCCCAUAUCAUGAUAUCAUUGAACACCUUGCCAACGAAUGGAUCGAACCAAUAUGUUACAUGUAUAAGAUCUGUACUAAGUUCUUUGCUGCUGUCUAGAGCUAUCAGUUCUUUUCGGCAUUUUCUUAUGUUAGCCAAAAAAACCCAAUAUAAAACCGUAAUUAUACCAAACCGAUUGCACUUACAUAUAAAAUCUCCACACAAUGUCAUUUUAGCUAGUGUGAAAGAUAGGCCAAAUGGUAAUCAUAUACGCGUCCAGUGAGAAUGAAACCUAAUUGCUACCUAAUCAAACAUAUGCUUCUUAUGGUUAUUGAAUACAAUUUCGUAUGUAAGCAUUUUGCCAUCUCACACUUUAAGAAUGGCUAGCUAGUAGCACAUAGAUAGUGUGUUAUUCUGUUAGAUAAGAAAACAAGAAGAAGAUGAAGAAGAAUGAGGAGAGAAAACAAAAGAAUAAAUUCCAUUCACAAUGACAUAAGGUAAAAAAGUACCAUUCACUUCCCACACAAACUUAAUAGUUAAUACCAUAUUUGGUUAUGCUAUAGCAAAUUUGUUUGUUUGUUGAUAAAAUGUUCAUUUUGGUCAUUGUACUUUGCAUGUUUUUGCAGUUUGGUCAUAAAAGUUAUUUUUUGUCAGUUUGGUCAUAAAACUUACAUUUUGUUAUCAGUUCAGUCACAAGUUAAGUCGUAGUUAAGAGCAACUUUUUUUACGAAACUGACUAAACUGAUAACAAAAUGUAACUUUCAUGACCAAACUGACAGAAAAAAAGUGUUGUGACCAAACUGCAAAAACAUGCAAAAUACAAUAUAUGACCAAAAUGGACAUUUUAUCUUUGUUUGUUUGUUUUUUUUUUUUUGUUUUUUUUUUCUUCUGAGUGUAGCAAAUUUGAUUGUGUCAUCACUGGAAAUCUGGAAUCAUAUACAGUAUGUGCAAGUUUCACAACAUGCGAGAAGUUGGAGUAAACUGGAAAUUGUAACUGCAUCUGUGCAUAUAUUAUGUUUAAAUCAUUUUUCUACAAAUGUGAUGUAGUGAAUCUCCAACAAUUUAUAACCAGUCUAAAACCAUAAUCAAGUACUUAAUAUGUUUUGUUCUUCCUGUAAUGCUAUUGCAAAUUGUAAGAUGUAAUACAUAUACAGGAAAAAAUACCAAUGGCUUAGUUAAAGAUCCUAAUUCAGAUUAUACAAUCAGUUAGUUAUUGUUGACAUCAGUCGAAUAAAAAAGCGAUAACAUGAAACAAGACCUAGAAUAUUGGUAUUCAUACUGUUUAUCUUCAACAAGCAACUACUGUAUAGUUUUCCUCCAGGCUAUAAAAUUUCUGGGCUAUGAGAGACGAGAAGCACACAUGUUUUGUAUAUACUAACUAUUUGUUAAUUUUGCAGAUUCAACUGAGGUACCUUGACAGCCUUUAUAUUAUUAGCUGAAUUGAUCCACGCCAUGGUAAAUGAAGAAAUCGGGUUGCCUAUGAAAUAAGCUUUUACUGAUUCUUGGUAAGACUAUGGAUCAUCUUAGUGUGAUCUAAUAUUAUCUUACUUCUUCAGUGAUGUUUUUCUGUUUAUAAAGCAAUUUUAAGAUAAUUGGAGUCACAAAAACCAUCCAACAACCACAAUAUUCAAAAAAAAACCCACAAUAUUCCUCACCUAGCUCACCUAAACUAAGUAAAACCCAAACUUUACCUAAAUUCAGUUCCACUGCUGUGCAACAUUGUAAGACAAAGGUAGUCUCAAUUCUCAAAACACUGCAAAUAUUCCGUCAGUGUUGGGUUACAUCCAGUCCCAUGUAUUACUUUUCCUUCUGAUCUACAUUAUUUGAUGUAUAAGAAAAUGAGCAACUCUACCAUUCUUCAGAGUUCAGAUUAUGUAAUUGUGAACUUUCCCUCAGCUUAUUUGGUGUUAUUGUAAAGGGGAACUAUAUUUGUUUGAUUGAUUGAAAGCCUCAGCAAAGUAUGUUACUAUGUUAUCAUGCCUUUGUUUGGAAUUUGGAUGCAUGUGUGUGAUAUUGAUAGAUAUGCUUCUGUUUAGAAAAAGCAUUACUGUCUCAUUCCUCCAUUUGUGGACCUGUAAAGGAAAAGCAGAUUCUCUGCACCCUACAAAAGAAAAGGCAACAUAAAGGAUAAAGAUGAAAUUCCCUGGAAAGUAAUAUUUUUCCAUGUACAUUAUUUUUCCUAAACAUUUCAGUAUUCCACAAUCCACAUUGUAAUCCUAUGGGCCUAGAAUUUUUUGAGAGCAAACAGAUUGAAUGUAUUUGCCUGUUAGGUAGAACAAGGUGGUGUUUAGGUCUUACAAUAUUUGCUAGUAGAAAAUGGCUAGUAUAAUUAGUACACAAUUAGGAAAAACUAGCCUUUAAUAAACCAUUAGGAAAAAACACGCUGCUUACUACCGUUAGCGCACAAUGUCAAAAUCUAAUCACUUCGUACAUCUAGGUUGCAUAUCGCAACAACAACAUUAGCACAUUGCAACAUUGUCAAUCUGUUCCGUUUGAUCAUCAGUUUAUAUAAAGGCAGUCAAGUUAUUCAGCUCAGGGUCUUGUUCAGUUGUUGGAAAAUAUGCUGAAUUUAGGAAAAACAUUUCCUAUAAAAAUUUCCGAAAAAGUGAAAACAAUUUUCUAGUUUUACAAACUGGCCGGUUCUUGAGUUAGUGCAUGUGACGGAUUUACCAAUGAGAAAAGUUUUUCCCAUGAAAGGAAAAAAUAUUUUCCUUCCAGUUAUAUUUUUUUUUUUUUUGGAAGUUUUGUUAAGGUCACUGAAAGCAUGACACAGCAAACUGGCAUUCUUCUUCUUCUUUAAGCUGUUGACACCUAACAUUUGUAUUUGUUUUUCCCUCUUUCGUCGAUUUCUAGGGUUAGAGUUUAUCCCCAAAAUUACCAAUUUCAAUCAACAAUCAAUAAUUUCAGUUUUAAGGUUAGUGUUUUAAUGAAAUUAGGGUUCAUUUUGUAGUUUUAGAAAGAUGAGAAAACCCAAAUUCGAUACAUUUAAAUCACUAAGUCGAAGAAAAUCAAUUCAAUUUUUGAUCAUUAUAGCAAUUUUGUAUCUUUUCUUAGUUAGUUUCGAAAUCCCAUUUCUAUUUAGAAGUGGGUUUGCUGCUGUUCCUAGUUUAUCUCAUGAAUUAAAUAGUGAACAAGAUUUAGUUAAGAAUGUCUCUCCAGUUCGACCAUUGGAGCAGAGUAUUUCAAGUAAAAAUAAUAGAAUUGUAUCAGGUUUGGUGUUUUUAGAUACUUUGUUUGAUAGUAGUAGUGAAGAUAGUUUUUCUGAGCUUCAGAAAUCUGCAAAAGAUGCUUGGGUUGUUGGGAAGAAGUAUUGGGAAGAACUUGAAUCAGGGAAAGUUUUAAUCUUUAAAGAGAAGAAUUUUCCCAAGAAUCUUUCGGAAACUUGUAAAAGUUCAAUUUCACUUACUGGUUUGGAUUUUAGAAGAAAUGGUAGUAUUUUGGUUCUUCCUUGUGGAAUGACUUUAGGAUCACAUAUUACAGUUGUUGGGCAACCUAAUCCUGCUCAUGUAGAGUAUACUCCAAAGAUCAGACUUGUGCAAGAUGAGUCUCAGGCGGUUAUGGUGUCACAGUUUAUGUUGGAGUUGCAAGGACUGAAAACAGUUGAUGGUGAAGACCCGCCAAGGAUACUGCAUUUGAAUCCUAGGUUAAAGGGUGAUUGGAGUGGUAAACCUGUUAUUGAGCAGAAUACUUGCUACCGUAUGCAAUGGGGAUCUGCACUUAGGUGUGAAGGGUGGAGAUCAAGGGCAGACGAAGAAACUGGUAGGUCAAUUUGAUUAGUAUAUUUUCUUAGACUAUUGAUGCAUCAAAUAUCUGUUCUUAUCAUUUUAUGGCAUGCCUUUUUCUUAUUUAGUGUUUGAUUCUCUACUGCCAUAUAGAGUGAUACUUUCAAUCAAAUAGUCUAGUGUUCAUCAAUUUCAAAUUUAUGUCGACCUAAUUUCAUCAUUUAUAACUAUGUGAGUGGUGUCUGCCGUUGAAGUUAACAUGCUACACGUGUAGAAUAAAAGGGCUUGGUCCUUAUGGCAAUUCUGUCUGCACAGUGCUGAAUAAAAAAGCACGGUCCCUUAACUAAUGGUGUGUUAUGCACUUUAUUUAGCAAAAAAAGGUGUGUUAUGCACUUUGACUAAUUUUUUUGAUAUCUUCCAGUUGAUGGACAGGUCAAGUGUGAGAAAUGGAUACGUGAUGAUGACAAUCAUUCAGAGGAGUCAAAAACAACUUGGUGGUUGAACCGACUAAUAGGGAGAACAAAAAAGGUUACAGUAGACUGGGCUUUCCCAUUUGUAGAAGGCAAAUUAUUUGUCCUUACGCUGAGUGCUGGAUUAGAAGGUUACCAUAUCAAUGUUGAUGGAAGGCAUAUUACAUCUUUCCCGUACCGUACAGUGAGUAUCUUCGACCCGUUUUAAAGUGACACUAAUUCUGCUGUCCUUAAGCAUUUGAGUAUUGUUCUCAAGAUUGCUUAUGAUUUUUAUAGGGUUUCACUCUUGAGGAUGCAACCGGGUUGUCUAUUAUCGGGGAUAUUCAAGUCCAUUCAUUAUUUGCAGCUUCCUUACCCACAACACAUCCAAGUUUUGCGCCACAUCAGCAUCUCAAUAUGUCAAGUAGAUGGAAGGCCCCAUCUCUGCCCGAUGGACCAGUGGAGCUCUUUAUCGGUAUCCUAUCUGCUGGCAACCAUUUUGCUGAGCGGAUGGCCGUAAGGAAGUCUUGGAUGCAGUCUACGUUGAUUAGAUCGUCAAAGGUGGUUGCCAGAUUCUUUGUAGCACUGGUAAGUGUGAUACUAAAUGGCAUCUGUCAUUCUGAUAUUCAUGUGUGUACAAAUACAUAAGGUUUAAUAUUGAUAUUUUGGACAGAACGUAAGAAAGGAAGUCAAUGUUGAGCUGAAGAAAGAAGCAGAUUUUUUUGGUGAUGUUGUUAUAGUCCCUUUCAUGGAUAGUUAUGACCUUGUUGUUUUAAAGACUGUUGCAAUCUGUGAUUAUGGGGUGAGUGUUGAGAUCAAGAAUAACAUUUAAAAUUUCAAUGCUCCAUUGAAUUUGGGAAUCAAUUGCUUCUGAUGCUUGUGUUUAUUAACAGAUUAACACGAUAUCUGCAAAGUACAUUAUGAAGUGUGAUGAUGAUACAUUUGUUAGAGUAGAUGCGGUCAUCCUGGAAGCGAAUAAAGUCCCUGAGGGUAAGAGCUUGUAUGUUGGGAAUAUAAACUACUACCACAAGCCUUUGCGUUCUGGGAAAUGGGCAGUGACAUAUGAGGUAUGUUUGGCCCUUGUUUUGUUUUUCUUUCUGUUGCUAUAUUGUCUUUUGGUUGGCUGGUAUUUUUAUAAGCUUAGUGAAAUAUUGGAGGACUUUUUUGUAAAAUUUGGUGGUUGCAAGAUUCUGCUCAUCAUAUUGUCCCUUCCUAGCGUUUCUAGGAAUUAUAUUAACAUUUUUUUAUCCAUUCACACAACAUGUUUUACAAAAUGCUCAUUCUAUUCGACAUAGAUAUCAUCUGAUAGAACCACGUUCAUAGGUUUUAUCGUAAAAGUACACUAAACUGAACUUCUUCUUCAGUUUACAGUUUACACAUGAUCUCUUGCAUUGUGUCAUUCAUAUAUGAUAAGUGAUGAGUAUACUGCUGACAUUUAGUUGUGGAGGUUCAAUUAGUUUUAUGAGUAUGACUCGUGCAGUUAUUUGUUACUUACUGUAUUUGGGACUAUUGCAGGAAUGGCCAGAAGAAAUUUAUCCACCCUACGCAAAUGGUCCAGGCUACAUACUUUCAUCUGAUAUUGCCAAGUUCAUUGUCUCUCAGUUUAAGAAACAUAAAUUAAGAGUUAGUAAACCCCUUCCUAUGGUCUCGUCUGACUUUGUAAAGGUAGUGUUGAUGACAAGAAUUUAACAAGUUUUAGUUGUUGUGCAGCUAUUUAAGAUGGAAGAUGUGAGCAUGGGUAUGUGGGUGGAGCAGUUCAGCAACACGACAUCAGUGGAGUAUCUUCAUAGCUUGAACUUCUGUCAGUUUGGUUGCAUUGAGGACUAUCUUACAGCACAUUACCAAUCUCCUAGACAAAUGAUCUGCAUGUGGGAGAAAUUGCAACGGCAGGGAAAACCAUUGUGUUGCAACAUGAGAUGACAAUGACUAGAUGAAAGCGAAGCUUGAGCCCAUACGAAAGACAAACAUAGAUACCAAAUUUUGCAGAUGUAGAAUCUUAUGGUGUAUAUAUUCUGAAGAUAAUUGGGAUGAGGAGGAAAUCUGGUUUAGGUUCAUUCAUUCUUUCUUUCCAUUUCUCAUUUUCCUUCUUUUCUUUGACCUUUUGGGAGGCUGGAGGUUGGUGGAUAGGGGGUAGGGUUGUCAGCAGCAUGUUAAUACAACAUUGCAACACCUCUGUAAUAUAAAUGUUACACCACAACAGUUGAAAAUGAAUAUAUCUAGAUUUUAAACAGCCAAUGCGGCAUCUCUAUUCUACUUCUAUGGUGUCUCAAAAAUCUAUUGAUAUGGUGUCUCGAAAUCAAAAUCUAUUGUGCAUUACUUCCCAUCUAUUUCUUCCUCAGUUGUGGCUCUAGAUUGUAAUGCAUUCUUGCGUGGUUACCGUUGAUAAUUUGCAGAAUCCCUGAAACAUAUUUUCCAUUUAGUAAUACAGUAGUAAACUAGUAAUAUACUACCAAAGUAGUUCAGUCAGGUAGAAUUCAUCAAAUAAACAAGUGAGUUCUAUUACCAUUUUUAAAGGCUACUAGUAGCAAUUCACAUGUAAGUGAGUUUGAAAACAAGAACUCCACUCUUUUUUCAAACAAACAUGGCGAUGGCAACUUCAUGUAUAAGAAAACAAAGAAGAGGAAACAAUCUCUCACUCUGUUAUCUCCAAAUUCAAUCUCUUCUCCCUUUUCUCUCUUUCUCAAUUCCUUACCUGAAACACCCAUUUUCAUCUUCAGCCCAAAACUCAUCUUCUCUAGUCAAACAAGUUCUCACUGCUAUACUACAAAACCGAUCUUUCGAUACCCAUCUUGUUGUUUCUGGUCCUAUAUGGACUAAUGAUACUGUUUGUGAAGUGUUAAGAUCAAUACCCAGAUUCCUUUUCCAAAGCAAUCGAUCCAUUGGUACACAAAGAGGUUUUCGACAUCGAGCACCUCUUAAACAAAGAAACCUUCAGAAAGAAUCCAAUGAUUUGCAACAAGGCAUUCGUGUUCUUGGUCCAGCUGGUUAUAGAGACCCCUUGAAGGUAAAUUUAGGAUUAGAUAAAGCAUUAGAGUUUUAUUAUUGGAUUGAAAAGCAUUUUGGUUUUUGUCAUAAUGAGAUUACUUGUAAAGAAAUGGCUUUGGUGUUGGCAAAAGGGAAUAGAUUGAAUGCACUUUGGGAGUUCUUAAGAGAAAUGGCUAGAAGAAAAGGUGAUGGGAAGCUUGUUACCACAAGCACUGUUACCUGUUUGAUAAAAGUUCUAGGAGAAGAGGGGUUGGUUAAUGAGGCAUUGGCUGCAUUUUAUAGGAUGAAGCAGUUUCAUUGUAAACCUGAUGUAUAUGCUUAUAAUACUAUUAUUUGUGCUCUUUGUCGUGUGGGAUUUUUUAAGAAGGCAAGGUUCUUGCUGGAGCAGAUGGAAUUGCCUGGUUUUAGGUGUCCUCCUGAUACAUAUACGUAUACUAUUUUUAUUAAUUUUUACUGUAAGUACAGCUUGCAGACUGGAUGUCGAAAGGCUAUUAGGAGGAGGUUGUGGGAAGCAAAUCACAUGUUUCGGCUAAUGGUGUUUAACGGUUUUGUUCCAGAUGUUGUAACAUAUAAUUGUUUGAUCGAUGGCUGUUGCAAGACAUAUAGAAUAGGAAGAGCGUUGGAAUUGUUUGAUGAUAUGAUAAAGAAGGGGUGUCUCCCUAAUAGAAUUACAUACAAUUCCUUUAUAAGAUACUAUAGUGCUGUUAAUGAGAUCGAUAAAGCUGUUGAAAUGAUGGGUAGAAUGAAAUUGGCGAACCAUGGUAUACCCACUACGAGUUCUUACACUCCAAUUAUCCAUUCUCUUUGUGAAGCAGGAAGAGUGCUCGAGGCACGGAAUUUCCUUGUUGAGUUAGUUGAUCAAGGGUCAGUUCCUAGAGAUUACACAUAUAGACUAGUUUGCGAAGCGUUGAAUUCUGCAGAUGAGGAUAGUUUGCCAGAUGAACUACGGAGAAAGAUUGAGGAUGGGAUGGAGCUAAGAUAUAGGCAAGUUAUGCAUGUGAAACCAAUGAUUUCCCAGCGAAGUUCAUAGUGGAAAGGUUAUUCAUGGGUGGAACGAAUGCAUCCAUUAAAAGAGUUUGGACAGCAAGAGGCUUUUAUAAUAUUGCUUUGUCACAGGUGAGAAUUUCCAUCCCAUUGUCCCAGCCUCCCAGGUUUCUGUUAUUGUUGUUCAUUUUUUACCUAUAGGUUGCUAGGCCACUGGCUUAAUUCUCAUUUUUUUUAUUCUGUGUAUACAUAUCUGAUAGUAUGGUACCAAGGGCAAGUUUUAUGUGCUUCCUGAAUCAUAAGUAGGACAAUAAUAUUUGGAGAUUCCAUUGGUUGUUAAUUAGGAUUAUCAUCUAAACUGUGGUUUGUGGUCUGCGCUUGAAAUUUUGUCAAGAAGUGAAUUUAUUCCAGUAAGUUGAAGUUUAAUGUUUCUAUAUUGACUAUCAUGUAUUGAGUUUGACAUGUCUAACUUAGGUGUUACAUGAUCUUCUACAUAAGCUAGGUAGACCUUUUCUUCACUUAUUUUUUACUUCAAACAUUUUAAUUGGAGUUUUAAUUUAGAAAUGCUUGGAGCUAUUGACAGCGUCAUGCAUGUCUUGAUUCUGUUCCAAGACAUUGAUGAUAAAUGAGACAAUCCUUACCAUAUCCCAUGCUUAGUUGUUAAGAUGGCCUAUCUCAGAACUUUCCGUACAAUCCAAGAAUAUAAACACCACUAAUCUCAGCUCUCCAACUAUAUUUAACCAACCCAUCAUUUAGUCUUCUCCAAUUGUGAACCCAAUGAAGCAGCCCCAGCAGUUUUCUGUAUACUUUCUCCUUUUGAUCCUGAACUUCUUGUUUCCUGGUAACUCCUGAACAUUGAAAUUAUCGUAUUUAGUUGUUUUAUAUAGUAAUUUUCACUUAAUAAAAAUCUAUAGUAGGAAAUGGUUAAGCCUGUAUCAUGGAAUGUCAUUUCUGAGAUGCUUUAUAUUUAUCAAGAAUAGGAUGAGGGCAUUAUUUUGUUAUGGUCUUAAUCUCAGAAUUUGGUGUUGCAGGGUAUGCCCAUGGAACAUUUGUGACUUUCUACAUCAACAACAAAUGCCCCUUCCCCAUAUGGCCUGCCACUGCUGCUAAUGCAGGUCAUCCCGUUAUUGCUGAGGGUGGGUUCUUUCUUCCUUCUAGCCAGACCAAACGCAUUGUGGCCCCAUACACGUGGAGUGGCCGGAUCUGGGCAAGAACUGGAUGUGACUUCAAUUCAAACUCUAAACCUGCCUGUGAAACUGGUGAUUGUGAGGGCCGACUUGCAUGUGGGGGGAGCAUUGGUCUCCCCCCAGCUACGCUUGUGCAGGUAUCCGUGCAACCAAAUGAGAGUCAGCCAACUUUCUACGAUGUCAGCUUGGUUGAUGGCUACAACCUCCCCGUUAGUGUAUCAACAAGAUCAAAACAAUCCAACUGUUUCAUUGGAGGGUGUUCGAAGAACCUUAACAGCUUUUGCCCUCAGGAACUUCAAGUCACCAACAAUCACGGGAAGGUAGUGGCAUGCAAAAGUGCCUGCUUGGCUUUUAAUCUUGACACGUUCUGUUGCAGGAAUGAUUAUGGAAGCCCAGACAAGUGCAAUCCAAAUGUGUACUCGAAGAUGUUCAAGAAUGCUUGUCCCUCUUACUUCAGCUAUGCUUUUGAUACUCCUAUGCCGUUGGUUAGUUGUAAAUCUACAGAAUAUGUCAUAACAUUCUGUCCAUCUAAGUGGGGCGAGCACACAUCCAUAUAGGUACUGUAAUGCGUUCCAGUGUUCCCUUGAGCUUCAAGCGGAUUAUCCAAUCUGAAUCAUGUUUACUUUAAUAUGUAUACAUCUCUAUUUAGAGUUAAGGACGUUCUACAGCUCUCCCUCUCUUUUUCCUACUUAUUUCUCCUUUUUGUACGCUCAUUUUACCUGUAGUGUUUUUUUCUUCUUCUUAAGUUUGCUGAGCAUCCUUGCCCAUAAAACAAAGUAUGUUCUUAUUCUAGUUUUUUUUGUAGUUUACUCUCUUUACUCCUUAGGAAAGUGUACUAUCAAAAACCAAGAUAAUGCAUCAAAUGCGUUGACAAUUCACGAUUCAAAUCCAGUCGCAAAUUCAUAUUACUAACUAAUUUCAUCCCUGUUACUUAUGAGCAGAAUAACAAUUGAAAUUAGCUGGUACCUUCAUUGUAAUAUAUCGAUUAUAAUAUCAUGUUUUAACCAGUAAACUUAAAGCCAAAGAUUGAAGAGAAUUGAAAAGGAAUCCCCACCAAAAGCACUAAACACAAAAAGGAAAAGUGAGUCUCCAAACUCCAAAGGUAGUCAUUUUCACAAGGUUCCUAAAUUUGUGUCCAUCGUAUAUGUGUAAAGGUACAACUUAGGAAGCCUACAGGGAUGGUGCUAGCUCAAGGAAAAUGAGUUCUGAAACGUAGUAGCCCUUUAACAGAGCACCUAUGAUCCUCUGCAAUUUCUUUACUGAUCAAUGUGGUGUCUGUUUCAAUCAAAUUAGCCAACAAAAGGCAUAAUAAAGCCUUUGAUGAUGUCAAAAGUUUCUUUACAAUGCCUUGUGAUUGUGACGACAAAAUCUCGAUGAGCAUCGAAGCAAAUGAUAACUGCCAACAAUUAAAUUCCUUGGCCAUGAAUAACAAUGCUUCAAUAAGUGGUGGAUCCUAGUAGCAAAAUGUGGAAACAUUGCCUUUGUGAUAAAGCUGAUUCUUUCUUAGUGGAUGAAUCUCUUUUCUGAAAAAAGUUUUAAGUAUUUAGCUAUUUAAUCCUUUAAAAUAUGGUUUGAGCUUCUACAGUAGUAGAACCAUUUUGCAAGCUGUGGAAUUGUUUAGAACCUAUAAACAACUUCUAAUGAUUACCAAAUAUUUCAUCUAAUCUACACCAAACACACUUAAAAAUGUAACAUUGGUUGUAAAUACACACAGUCACAAAGUACAAAAAUUUGUGAAACAGAACUUUCUUUGAAGGGGGGUAAUCAAAAACAUAAUUGAAAGUUACAUCUUGUAAUUGUUAUUUACAUUGUCAAUCCAGAUUACACCAUUGGUGUUAACAUGUACAAGAUUAUAAGUGUGCCCAAAUAAGAUACCAUGCCAAGGAAGAUAUCAUCCAAGUUCCUGCACAAUAACACCAUCAUCAAAUUCAAAAUGAAAAAUUCCAUAAAUUUCAUGUAAGAUGAAUGAAAUUAGAGACUAUAUGUGAUAACUUACCUAUCUUCCUUGGAAGCAAUCUCACAUCAUUGCUCAAGUUGGCUGCGAAGUAGCAAUCUGUUGUAGUGUUCAACCAAUCAACACAGUUACAUGUAAAAGAAUUAUAGCUUCCACUAUAUCCACAUACUCCAUUACUCCUUUCACAACUGCUACAUGCACUUGGAAAAUCAUUUUUGACAUUAAAUUUAUACUUCAGAGCUAUACCAAAAUUCCAACUUUGCGGAUUAGAUUCCCGACCAUUGAAGCUAUAGAUGGAAGCAUAAGAAGUACAUUGUAGUUUUUGUAGAUCCAUUUCAAAUGCAGGACCAAGAUCAAUUGGUGUAUAUACACAACAUGUCGAUAUAGGAAGGUUAAGCCUAGUGAUGGGUGGGCAGGAGUAAAGAAGACUGCAUAUUGGCGCACCUUCGUUAUCACAUAAAGGCACUAUGGAAUUAUUGACACCAUCUUGUGAAUUAUAGAGUGGUGAGGAAGCUGUGGAACAAUCAAUGAGCGCAAAAACAUUGUCGUCCAUGAAUGUAAAAGGCGCAUCCCAAUCUAGGCCAAAUCCUUUACUAGGCUGUGUUGAUGAACAAGUUGACAUAGAUGGAUCUUGGAUGUACAGAACAUGGUUGUUAUAGUCUAUGUUAUCAAUAGUAUAGCAACCACUAUGAGUGUUGAGAAUGAGCUUCUGUUGAUCACAUGUUACAUAUUUUUGAAACCUUGGAUCACCGCAUCCAGGUCCACUGCCAAAAGGGUACCUGAUAAGCUGAUUUCCACAUGAUUUCUUGCAGGCUUGGGAUGAAAUUAGUGAGGGGAGAAAGAUAAGGAAGAUGAAAGAAAGAAGUGAGAUGGAAGAAGAUCUAAGCUUCAUGUUUAUGGUCUGUAAGUAAGUGUUCCAAGUCUUAAGUCAAAUGAGUGUGGAGAGUGUAUUAUUUAGUUGCAAGUCUGCUAUCUUACAAUUACUUCCUUUAUAGAAUCUAGAGACAGUGUGACAGCAAGUGUCUUUUUAGAUAGUGGGUUUCUUUUGAUCUCUAUGCUUUUUCUUAAGAUGCUUUGGUAUCAUUAAUAUUAUUUGUUCUGUUUCAUGUUUUCUUCUCUUGUAUUCAGGGUGAGAUUUCUAGAUAUAUAUCCAUAUUCCUUUUUAUAAGUUUAGUUACAAAACAAACUAGAUGAGCUGAAAGAUUACUUGAAGAAGCACUAUAUUUACGGAAAGUGCAUUUAUAUUUUGAAAUUGACCCUUUUAUAUCUUGGAAGGGUAGGAACUUAUCAUGCCUUGGUCAUGUUGCUUAUAAUUCAUGUACACUGUUUAAAGUCCACCUACAUGGUCCUGCAAAUUGGCAAAGUUGUAAUUGGACUCAUGGAAAAAUGAUUUGAAUCAUUAAUACAUCAGACAAAGGGUGUGACAAUAACAUGAUAACUGUAGAUGUUAUUGCUACCAUUUGCCAAUAAGUAUGGGAUUUGAAUUCAAAUCUAUAGCAUGUGAUACCAUCUCAGAUUCACAUUUUCAGCUGAGCAUCCUUCAGUUCAGUGUCUUGAGUGUCUCUCAUUUGAUUCUCUAUUCUUGUAUCAUAAGAGUUUUAUUAUUGUUUACUUCGGCUAGACGCCCUUCCCUAUGGAGGUUCUGUGUAGGAUUUCAAUCCUCGAUUCAGACUGUGAAAACAAAUCAGACCAUUGAUGAACAAGAAGCUUCCCCUACUACAGUUUUGUAAUUAAAGGUUUGUUAUUACAUGCUGUUGGAUUCUAGAAGGUUCCUAUAAGUUCAAGGAGUCACUCAAAAGUUAAAAGAGGAACUUUAGUUGAUCCCACUCAGCUGUUUAAGGGUUAGGGACUUAGGGGUGGGUCUUAUAAAAAGAGGUUGCUAUGAGUACACAUUUUUUGUAGUCCUGAUUAGAGGGGAACCAUUGAAUUGUUUAAUGAUCUUAAGAUAAAUUAGGAUAUGGUCUCAUAAAAUAAAUUAAACAUUAUUUCAACUUUAAACCCCCUUCUCUCUUGCCUUUGAGGCCAAAAAAAUUCAUAAUUGGCUUAUUGUAUAAAAAGGUCAUAAUUGUUGAGAGAGGUGGUGGGGUGAUUUGGUAAGUAUUAAGGUAUAUAUAUAUAUGGUCUUAGUGUUCAUUCCACUUAAGCUACAAUAACUUAUUUAUUAUGAGAUGAAGCAUCUUUGAUCUAAAAAAGAUGGAUGCGCAUGGUUCCCUUCUCUGCUCUCUGCUAUUGUAACUCUUAACACAAAUACAGUAGAACCUCUUUAAAUUAAUACUCGAUUUGUUAAUCUCUCUCUAAAUUAAAGAAAUUCUCUGGUCCUAAUGUACAUGGUAAGUAACUAAAUCAACAUUCGAUAAGUUAAUAAUUUCUCUAAGUUAUUAAAUUUUAAUAAAAAUGUACAAGUCCGACGCUAUUAAUUUAAAGAGGUUCUACUGUACUAUGGCUAUUUACAUCCAUAUUGUUUCUUUUUAUACUUGGAUCCACUAAUAAUCUGCAAAUAAAAGUCCUUAAACUUGGGCCUUCGAUGGAUAACCUGGAUUAGGAGGCCCAACUCUUAUAGCCCAUAGAACCUCAAACAAAGCUGGCCCACAAAGGUGAACCCCAAGAAGAUUAAUGCGGCCGAUGUGGGACAAAACAAAAACUUUUUGUAACUUUAUAAGUAAUUAAGUAGUAUUUCUUCAUCUGGUAAAGUAAAAAAGAAUUUAUCUGGUUGGUUUCUAAGUCAAAACAACUGAAAUGAGUUGCAGUCAUGGUGAGCUUAUUUCUUCAUGCUUUCUCUAGUUUCAUGCCCCUUUUGGAAAAAUUUGCAAACUCACAAGUCAUUUUCUUUACAAGAUUUUCUCUACUUUCUUGCAUGGGGACAUGGGGUCACCAUAUAUCUAGCUCCAUGUAAUUUCUCAAGUAGUUGCUACUUAGAAUAUAGUUUCUUCAUGGACCUUGACCCUAAGCUAAUAACCUUAAUCAAAGCCUUGUUCUUCAGUCAAAAUCAGAUUAUUAUCUUGACCGACCAAUUGACCACUGAUAUUCAGCAAAGUCUUCACGUACAAAGAAAAAAAAAGGCAGGCGGCAGGUCCCUCCAAAAAACACGAAACUCAAAACUUUCAGAUGAAGCUAUCAUCAUAUAUACAGUAUAUAUUCAGCAGGUCCAUCGACAGUAUUUGACCGGUUUACGCGGUUCUGAAUACUGAUAAAUAACUUGAAUUUAUAUGGUUCAUAUACCCUUAGGUAGGUAGAUAUUAUGGUAAAUAUCAAUACGCGUUAUGUUGCAGUAUGGGAUGAAUUUGGGGACCAACACAGAAAGUAACCAAAUUAGCUAUAUGAUUCUAUUCCAUAUUUCCAUCAUGUGAAACUAUGUUAUCAUUCUUUUCCAAAAUGGCGCCAACAUGGUAAGACUGAUGUGCUAAAAAGCCUACUUUCUUUCAUAUAAGUAACAAAAAUGAGAAACCACUAGGAAAUGAGGAAUUUGUUCUCUACUCUUUAGAUAGAGAAUUUCCUUUUUUUCACUUGUAUUAUUGUAUGUAUAUAUAUAUUUCCAUUCUCCAAUCCAAUGCUAGCAACUUCAUCAAGCUUUAAUAGAUUCAAUACUUGAGUUCAUUUGAUUCAAUAUUCAUAUAGUACUGUACCCAAGUUUUUUUCUUUUCUCAAAAUCUUCGGCUUUUUAUCGAUAAAAUAUGGUGUGGAUGGGAGAGAUGUGGAAUACUGGUUUUGGGUCAACAAUUGCAAGCAUUAUGUUAAUGUAUGCAAUGUUUCAGCAGUAUUUCCCUUAUCAUCUUCAAGAAAAAAUCCAUAAAUAUGCUCAGUAUCUUUUUGGCAGAGUUAACCCUUAUAUACAGAUUACCAUCCAUGAAUAUUCUGGAGGGCGUUUCAAGCGUAGCGAAGCCUAUAUGGCAAUUGAAACCUACCUUAGCGCGAAAUCUUCUAAACAAGCAAAGCGGCUUAAGGCUGAUAUUGGCAAGAAUUCUAAAAACCUAGUCCUUAGCAUGGAUGAUCUCGAAGAAGUCAUUGAUGAAUAUCAAGGUGUUCAACUUUGGUGGGCUUCACGCAAGUCGAUUUCUACUCAGCAAUCUGUCUCCCUUUACCCUAGCAACGCUGAUGAUAAACGUUACUACACACUUAAAUUUCAUAAAAAGUUUAGGGGACUUGUUGUUGAUUCAUAUUUGAAUCAUGUUUUUGAAGCAGCAAAAGUACUUGGGAUGAAAAACAGGCAGAGAAAGCUUUACACUAACAACCCAAGUGAUAAUUGGUAUGGUUACAAGAGUUCUGUGUGGAGCCAUGUUGUGUUCAAUCACCCAUCAACAUUCCGAACACUAGCAAUGGAUGCAGAGAAGAAAAGUGAUAUUAUGAAUGACCUCACUACAUUUAGCGGAGCAAAAGACUACUACGCGAAAAUUGGGAAGGCGUGGAAGCGCGGUUAUCUUCUCUAUGGACCUCCUGGAACUGGUAAGUCUACUAUGAUAGCUGCAAUAGCUAACUUGUUAGAAUAUGAUAUCUAUGAUCUUGAACUAACCUCUGUGAAGAAUAACACUGAACUGCGUAAACUAUUGAUCGAAACUUCAAAUAAGUCCAUAAUUGUCAUCGAAGACAUUGAUUGUUCGCUUGAUCUGACUGGCCAAAGAAAAAAUAAGAAAGGAAAGGAAGAAGAAAAGGAGGGGGAGGAUCCAAUAGCUAAGAAGGCUAAAGAAGAGACAAGUAGUAGUGAGGGAAGCAAAGUUACCCUAUCUGGGCUUCUGAACUUCAUUGAUGGCUUAUGGUCUGCUUGCGGUGAAGAGCGACUUAUCAUCUUCACUACUAACCAUGUGGAAAAACUCGAUCCAGCUCUUAUUCGAAGAGGUAGAAUGGACAAACACAUUGAAUUGUCAUAUUGUAGCUUUGGAGCAUUCAAAGUGUUGGCCAAGAAUUAUUUGGACCUUGAGUCACACCAUUUGUUUGGGACUAUCAAACACUUGUUGGAAGAGACUCAAAUGACUCCAGCUGAUGUUGCCGAGAAUUUGAUGCCAAAAACUAUAAAUGGGAAUUUUGCCGAACUUUGCUUGGAGAAUUUGAUUGAAGCUUUACAGAACAAAAAAGAAGAAGCAAAGUCCAAAGCAAAAGAGCGUGAAAUGUAUAGUAAAGAUGAAGCUGCAGCUGUGAAUCAAGUAUUAACCAAUAAUGAAGCUAAAGUGAAUGACACAACUCUACUGCUUAAAAAGGCCGGAAAGGACCAUCAAGGAUGUUAGCUAAGCUAGCAACUACAAUGGUAACAAAAAAAGUGAUAUUAACAGAGCCAGAAUAUGUAUCUUAUCAUAUGUAGGACAAGUGCAAUCUCUUUAGGUGCCGAUCGACAGAAUUUUAUUCAAUAUGAUCUUUCUUUUCCCUUGUACUAAUUAUUUCGCAACAUUCUUAGAAUUACUGUGUUCAACAUAGUGAAACAAACUCGCCUGAAAAAACAAGUAAACAUCAAGUUGGUUGAAGUAAUGUGCGUGAUAACUUGUGGUGCCUUGGCCUAUAUUUCACAAUUAGAACCACCUGGUCCUCCAUGCUCCAUUACAUAUCCAUUGUCACCUUGUUCACCAUCAUUAAUUUUGUGCUUUCUGUUACUAAAAAUAAAAAUUCUAAAAUGACUAAUAUUGCUUAUUGGGCUGGACUCGAAGGCCUACUCAAAGUCAUCAUCCAGGCCAUAAAAAAAGUCCUUUUAUUGGACCUUCAUACAACUCAGUCUUUAAACUCCAGAAGUGCACAUUUCAGCAGUUUGCAGGACUGCAACAAGUAACUUGCUAGAGACCUAGAGUGCUAUAAACUCAUCAUGCCUUCCAAACUGAGGAUACUUAGUAUGUGCAUGGAAUCAAUUUUCAAUCUAUUGAAUCUACAUUUUACACGAAAAAAAAAUGGUAAUUGACCUAAAAACAUGAUAUGAUGUGCCCAUGAAUGUAUGAGUGUAGGUAGAUAAGUUGGUAGAAAAUCCAGAAGUUUGCGUGUGAAGAAGUUCAUAAAUCAUGUCAAAAGCACUGGAACUGGACUACUGGAGUUCAGAAUCAGAAGUUCAGAGCAACAGCUAAAACUCACAUGCUAUUUGAUUUGCAGACUAUGCAGUACAAACAGAAUCAUACAAAAACCUUCAUGAUACCAGAUUACCACCACAUGCAUGUCCUUAUUUCACAUGUGAACAACAACCAUUUUACUUGGUUCAAAAAUAAAAAGUUUUAAUUUUAAAUAAAAAAAUAUAAUUUUUCUAAAACUUGGUCCCCACACUUGAACUUGUAGUCAAAUUGAUUGGCCCAUUUGUCUAAACAAAACUAUGUGUGAAACUACCAUGAAAUAGCACUUGGAUAGAUAUUAAUUUUAUUUGGUGAAUAGGCUCAAGGGAAGAAGACUCUUGUCUUUCUCUCUAGUCUCUCUCUUUUUUUACCUAUAAUUUUGUUUUCAACAAAACUCUUGCUUGCUUCCUUCCUUCCUUCUUAAAACUCUCUCUUAUCUCCAAACUUUUUUUCAUUUCAUCAAUCACUAGAACUAGAAGAUCAUGAUACCUAUGAUGGGUAUGGGAGGUGAGAUGUGGAGUAAGUUUGGUUCAACUUUGGCUAGUAUUAUGUUCAUGUAUGCUAUGUUUCAACAAUAUAUUCCAUAUACUUUUAGAAGCAAAUUUGAGAAGUAUGUUCAUAAAUUGAUUGGAUAUGUUAAUCCAAAUAUCCAGAUUAGAUUCCAUGAAUUUGUGGGUGAGCGUCUCGAGCGCAGUCAAGCUUAUACUGCAAUAAAGAAUUACCUUAGUAGUAAUUCUUCUAAACAAGCAAAAAGACUCAAAGCUGAUGUUGGGAAAGAUAGUACUAAUUUGGUACUUAGUAUGGAUGAUUAUGAAGAAGUACCUGAUGAACAUGAAGGGGUUAAGGUUUUAUGGGCUGCAAGCAAAAGCUCCCCAAAAACCCCAAGUUUCUCUUUGUAUCCAACUUCUAGUGGUGAUGAAAAGAGGUAUUAUCAACUCACAUUUCAUAGGAAAAACAGAGAUGUUGUAAUUAAUUCCUAUUUAAAUCAUGUAUUAGAAAAAGGGAAGGCGAUCGCUGUACAAAAUCGACAAAGAAGACUAUAUACUAAUAGCACUGGCCAUAGUUAUUAUAGUUUUAAGAAGAGUAAUUGGAGUCAUGUAGUGUUUGAUCAUCCAGCAACAUUUCAAACACUUGCAAUGGAAGCAGAGAAGAAGAAUGAGAUAAUUGAUGAUCUCAUUACAUUCAGCAAAAGCAAAGAUUAUUAUGCAAAAGUUGGCAAAGCAUGGAAACGUGGGUAUCUUCUAUAUGGACCUCCUGGUACUGGUAAGUCUACAAUGAUAUCUGCAAUGGCUAAUUUAUUAAACUAUGAUGUAUAUGAUCUUGAAUUAACAGCUGUUAAGGAUAAUACCGAGUUGCGAAAACUGUUAAUUGAAACAUCAAGUAAGUCCAUUAUUGUUAUUGAAGAUAUCGAUUGUUCGCUCGAUCUUACUGGGCAAAGAAAGAAGAAAACAGAUAAAGAAGAUGAAGAAGAAACUGAUCCAGUUCGGAAAAGGGCUAAAGAAGAGAGUAGUAUAAAGGAAAGCAAGGUUACUCUGUCUGGUUUAUUGAAUUUUAUUGAUGGUAUAUGGUCAGCUUGCGGUGGAGAGCGGAUCAUUGUGUUUACGACUAAUCAUGUUGAGCAACUUGAUCCAGCUCUAAUUCGGAGAGGUAGAAUGGAUAAACACAUUGAAUUAUCUUAUUGCAGCUUUGAAGGGUUUAAGGUUUUGGCCAAGAACUACUUGGAUAUUGAUUCACAUGAACUAUUUGAGGUCAUUCAAGAAUUACUAGCUGAAACCCAAAUGACUCCAGCUGAUGUAGCAGAAAAUCUAAUGCUGACAACUUUUACAAGAAACACUGACAAGUGUUUGGAGAAUUUGAUUCAAGCUCUCAAGACUGCCAAAGAAGAGAAGAAGUUGAAGGCAGAGGAAGAAGCAAAAGAAGAAGAGAAGAAAAGAUUGAAAGCUGAGGAAAAGGUUAAAGAGGAAGAACACAAAAGCAUGAAGACUGAGGAAAAGGUGAAAGACUUGAAAGUUGAUGAAAAGGUGAAAGAGGAUCAAACAGAGGCCAAAGAAGAUGCAUCAACUCCCUCCUCCAAUUGAUAAUACAAGUGUCUUCAAAAUGUUUUUCUGCUUUUUUUGUUGUGUUUUGUUGUAAUAAAGGUUAAUUCUAUAAAUUAAGUCUUCACCCUUUAUGUAUUAGAAAGUAAUCUUAUUUUUAAGGAAGCUUUUCCUCUAAAGUCAAAACUUGUGUGGUUUACUUGCAAUUGAUUAAGUGGAUAAAAAGACUUUGAAUGUGAUAAAGGGGAGUAUUUCAUUUCAAAUAGUAAUAGAAAACUCAUCCAAUACAGGCCAUCUUUUAACCUAGGAACAUUCUGACUCACUCAUAACUCAUAUGUCAUAAUAUAAACUUUUUAAAAGAACAAAUCUAGCAAGAAACAAAAACACAUACUCAUCAGUUUCAUAAUGAAUGAGAUGAAAUGAAUGAAUAAUGGUUUAAAGAAAGAAGGGAGUAGGGACCAUGAUAUGUAACAUAUGGAAAAUGUUUGCAGUGCUGAGUUCAAUCCAUUUUUGCAGACGUAUAUAGAUAGAAAUUGGAUAAUGACAAGAUACAACAUCAUAAUCUUUGCUUUUCAAGAAAAGAAAAUUUAAACCAAUGGAAAUAGGAUAUUUAUAGAGGUGUUCAGAGUUUCAGACUGUUACACACGGGAAAAAGGUAAUGUUACACACGCGAUAUUUUCCGUUUUUCCAGAGAUCGGCACGGUACGGCACACGGAAUAUAUUCGGAUAUUAAAACACCCCAUGCCGGUCGGCAUAAAUCGGAUAUUCGCGGCAUAAAUCGGCAAAAACCGAUAUUUAUCGAAAUUUUAAAAAUUUUCAAUUUUAAAAUUAACACAUUUAUUUUUAAUCCCCCGAAGUAGAAUUUUCGAUGAGAUUAUCAAUAAAAGGUCCAAAAGGCCCUAGACGUUUGGAAACUUUCGCGACGAACUUGAUGGCCCUCCAAGAGCAAUAUAUCAGAAAGAAACGAAAAAAAAACAUGUCCAUGCCAAAGUGAAGUUCUCUCUCACUUUUGGCAAACCAGUAUACUGUUUGUAUCCAAGGUUUGUUUUUGU
rnacentral:lncRNA from 1 species